rnacentral:rRNA from 1 species
AAAAGUCGUAACAAGGUUUCCGUAGGUGAACCUGCGGAAGGAUCAUUAAUAAAUUGUAGUGGGAGUUGAUUGCUGGCAGUUGCCUCUUUGGCUGCUGCAUGUGCUCGCUUUUACAAUCUUUAUCCUAAAACACCUGUGCACCUCCAGAGGGGGAAAUCCCUGAACUGACUGCUGUUGUUUUGGUAGUUUUCUUGGAUUUCCUUCCUGUCACACACACUGCUUACAAUGUUGAACGUGGUUGUGCCAUGCAAGGCAUUUAAUGUAAUACAACUUUUAACAACGGAUCUCUUGGUUCUCGCAUCGAUGAAGAACGCAGCGAAAUGCGAUAAGUAAUGUGAAUUGCAGAAUUCAGUGAAUCAUCGAAUCUUUGAACGCACCUUGCGCUCCCUGGUAUUCCGGGGAGCACACCUGUUCGAGUGUUGUGAAAUUCUCAAGCUGGAUGCUUUUUUCUUCUAAAAGUUGUCUUGGCUUGGUAUUGGGCUUUGCCGUGUUUAUGAACGGCUGGCCUUAAAAGUAUUAGCUGGCCUUUAUGUGGGAUCGGUUCUACUCGGUGUGAUAAUGAUCUGACCACCGAGGACAUCUUUUGGGAUGGCCAGUUCUCAUUUGGGUUGCUUCUAAUCUGGUUUUGCAGAGU